rnacentral:rRNA from 1 species
AGCGAACGCUGGCGGCAGGCCUAACACAUGCAAGUCGAACGAACCUUUCGGUGUUAGUGGCGGACGGGUGCGUAACACGUGGUAACGUGCCUUUAGGUUCGGAAUAACUCAGGGAAACUUGUGCUAAUACCGAAUGUGCCCUUCGGGGGAAAGAUUUAUCGCCUUUAGAGCGGCCCGCGUCUGAUUAGCUAGUUGGUUGAGGUAAUGGCUCACCAAGGCGACGAUCAGUAGCUGGUCUGAGAGGAUGAUCAGCCACAUUGGGACUGAGACACGGCCCAGACUCCUACGGGAGGCAGCAGUGGGGAAUCUUGCGCAAUGGGCGAAAGGAUGACGGAGCCAUGCCGGGUGAAUGAUGAAGGACGGAGGAAUGUAAAAUUCUUUAACCGGGGACGAUAAUGACGGUACCCGGAGAAGAAGCACCGGCUAACUUCGUG